ACUAACGAGCGCGCUAGCAGGGGAAUCUGCGCAUGCGCGCGCCCUCUUUCCAGGCAGCACGUGAGUGCGGACCCCGUUUUCCCCCCAGGGAGCUACUGAUAGCGACGCCGGUUGUAUUCAGCGCUCUCCCCCGGCUGCACCUUGGAAUUGCCGAAGAAGUUUUUUUAAAACUCCAGAUGGGCCGGGUGCGGUGGUUCACACCUAUAAUCCCAGCACUCUGAGAGGCCGAGGCGGGAGGAUCGUUUGAGCCCAGGAGGUCAGCCUGGGCAACAUAGUGGGACUCCGUCUGUACAAAUCAAAAAACAAACAGAAACUUAAAAUGCAGAAUUUCUAGGGGUGGGGUCUUGACCUCAGAGUUUUGAAAGCUCUCCAGGUGAUUCAAGGUGCAGACAGAAUUGAGACCCACACCACCAGUGGCAGCUGGUGACAGCCUCAGCUUUUUGCUCCCGUGUCACGGUACCAUUACCUCAUUAUUUCGCAGUGUUGUGUAUUGACUGAGCUAAUCCCCAGUUAACUCUGCAGGUCCCCGCUAAGCGUUUGCGUUCUUCCUGAGCCCCUGUAAGCCUGUGCAGCAGGUUUGGGUCGUCAGCUCACGCAGCUCUGUGUGAGUAGUAGGCCUAUGUUCUUGCUCUCCUCCAGGUUGGCGCUGCAGCUCUGGGAUUCAUUCAUUCAUAUAGCUCGUAUUUAUUGAGCACCUGCCAUACGCCUGGAACGGUGCUAGGGAAACAGCAGUGUUAAACAGGUGAAGUCCUGCCCGCAUGAAGUUUUACAUUGUAGUUCAGGACACAAUAAGCAGCUUAGCCCAAAACAGAGCCAAGCCAGCCCACCUAAAGGAGCAGGAGCACGCCCAGUGGCAUCAUUGUGACUGGACUGCUGAUUGGCUGGCAGCCUGGGGAGUGUCUGGCCCAGGUUAUACGAUACCCAGGGCCUUCCCAUCAUUCAUGGUGGUCUUCACUGGCCCAAAGUGUAAGGAUCUUUAAAGCAAGAAUCUUAUCUAGUCCCAAUUCUACAAACCCCGUGAACUUUCUAAAGCUGUACUCCCUGCAUAUUUUUAGUAUGAGCUUCCUGAAAAUAGAGAUGAUGCCAUUUUUAUCUUUCCCCCUCUCCCCUACCAGUGUCUAGCAUAGUUCUUGGCCCAUAAAAAACACUCAGUAAAUGUCUGAAUGGAUAAGUAAGUAAUUGGUUGUGGCUCAUGAGACAAAGAUAAUUUGAAUAUAGUUUCAGAUGUAGCAGAACUAGAUGAAGAGAAGUUGUGAAGAGUGAGAAAGGAAUAUUUGUGUGUCCUGAGUGGUGAGAAUUGAUUUGAGAGCUUACCAUGUUUGGGAAAUUGCAGGAUCUAUGGAAGAAGGCCAUAACCUGGCCCUCACCACCAAGGAGCUUACAGUUGGGCAGUCAGAGGCUCCAUCCUUGGGGAGGUGAGAGAGCGUUACAUUCACUUGCUUGGUUGUUAGUGUAAGAGGAGCCAGCAAAGGAGGAAAGAGUUUUCUCUUUUGGAAUUGUCAUUACCUAGGGCAGUCGUUCCUGAUCAGUCAAAGGCCUACACAGGUUUGAGUCCCAGCUGCAGAUGCAAGUCAUGGCUGUGUUAGUGAUUCUGUAGCAGCUGAUGAAUGCAUUCCUGUCAGAGUGACCAGUGCAUCACGAUGGCAGCAGGUGCAUUACUCAGGACCACUGUUGCGGUGCCUCAUCCUAAUGUCACCUGAGAAUGCACCUGGCCUUAGUAAAUCUUUGUGGUAAUUUUUGAAGGGCGCAAUUCCUCGCUGGAAUUGAAAACACUACUGUGAGUCACUCCUACUGACACCCCCAGAUCAUUUAUAAAGACCUUGAGAAAGCAAGAUGAUUCUGGUAGGCUCUUCAUUAAACUGGCAGCAGGAGGUGGGGAUUAGAUCCAGUUGACUGACUAGUAUGGAGCUCCUCCUUGGUUAUGCCGGUUGCCAGAAGACAGAACUAGAGGGGAAAGUAGCUCUGCUCAUGCCGUCUUUCCAUUCCCGUAGAGGAGAGAGGCAGUCAGUCCUCCUCUCAGCCUCUUGGCUUCCUUCGUCCUAAUGAUCACCCCGAAAGGUGCAUAGCGCACCUUUGCCGGCGUGAUCUCAUUUAAUCCUUAGUACAGCUGAGUGGUAGCCAUUACUGUUCCCAUUUUACAGAUGAGGAGACAAAUCAGAAAAACAGGACAACGCACUGGGGGUUCUGUAGCCAUAAGAGACAAGCCAAGUGAGAAACAGACCCAGCCCUCCUGGCCCUAGUGUGCAUCGUCUCCUGGGUGCCUGGCCUUUCCUCAGCUCCUGUUGCAAGUUAUUGUUAGAACAACCUCUUAUUCCAUGAACGUCAAACCACUUCCUUCCCCUGGUUGCCUGUUCAAACCUUUUUGGGCCAUAGAUAGUUUGGGCAGCAAAUGGAACUCCCUGUGUUUACCCACCUAUUCUUUGCCCCAGCCACUACCAGUCCAGUUGGGAAGAAAGAUGGUCCUGGGUGGGACACCAGGCGGAGAAAAGCUGGGUUAACUAAAGGGCAAAUCAAUAAUUCAUACUCAAAACCAGAGUACAAAAACCACUGCCUCCAUUUAUUCCACCUCAAAUUGCCCUCUGGGGAGUCUUGUGGUCCAGCCUAAACCCACCAAGUGGAGAGGUGGUGGUGGGAGCAGGAACACACAUAACUCCUCUUACACCCCGUAUCCUACUGUGUAGUUUUAAAAAGUCAGUGUUUAUGGGCUUUGCCAAUUUUGAAUAGAGUUUGUCUAAGAACACGUGUUUCCUACAGCACUGAGAGCUUAAUAAAAGAAUUGCAACGUGGGGGAAGGUGGCACAACAAUGUAAUUGUUGACUUGACAACAGAGAAAGUAGCAGAUCUUUCUAAUGAGUUCAUUAGGUGCUUCCUAAAAGAUCCGGGACUGCACACCAGCACCCACUUAUGUAGCACAAGGUGCAACUCCAAGGGGUGUCCUAGAAGAGCUGCUGCUCUUUGCCCACCAGGGAGUUCUAACUGUAUUAUAUCCAAGUUUAAGUAUAAUAAUAUUGGCCCAGUUUGAAAGAAGUUAAACUUUUUCUUGGGUUUCUAAUAAUGUAAAUGGUAUUUCCACCUUCUCAGAGGAGAAUUCAAAGGUUUUUUUAUGAUUCUGUUUUCUCAGUCAUCCAUUUGAGGCCUGGUCCUUGGCAUUCCUCAGUGUGGCAGGGAGCUAGCUCCCAAGCCACCUGGCAUAUGCUGGCCACGGUGAAGCCAUCUCAACGUUGCUCACCCCCACUUGUGGGCCCCCUGAAGUCAUGUUUUUGAAGAGUGUCCUAAGAACAGAUUAUCCUAUUUUUAGUUAUGUAUUGAGCCUAUCGAAAACCUGGAGUUGUAAGGAGAAUCAUCUCUAAGAGGGAAUGCAAACAUCUCCAUCUUUUUUUCUCUCCCAAUUCUGAAUGGUGCCAGUGUGAGCUAGGGUAGUAUUCACACCAAGGGGUGGCAUUUAUCUCUGCAUAUGUAGAGCUGCAGUGCUCCACCUGAAGGGAUAAAUUCUUGGCCACUUCUGGUGGGUCACUACUUUAUUCAAAGAUGUUUGGGGUCUGCCCGUUGCCUCCUGGACAGGUGGCAGGCAACUUUGUGAGACCUGCAGUGCCUCUGAUCCUUGGUCCCAGCCUGUGUUUCCAACCUUGCCUCUCACCACCCCAACAUGAGCCCCAGGCUCAGCAAGGGUGUCUUCUCAUGGUCUCCCAAAUUGGCCAUGGUACAAGCGAUUCUGAUCCUUUGAGACUUAAGUGCGCUAUGGAUCACUGCACCCCUACAACCCCAAAAAACUCAAACACAGAGUUUGUCAAGAAUUUGGUGGCUUCCCAGGCUCUUGGAGCCCUCCCUGGGUUCCCCUUAAAAGCCCUGUCUGCCUAAAACACCCUUGUCCUAUGCCUCUUCAUGCCUCAUCCUCCCAGUCAUUUCUGGUUCCUGUGUCACUCAUGUCCAGGUCGGCACUCCUCACUCUGUGCACUGUCGCUGCAGUGAAACUCAGCCCUUUCCUGCCACACCUCCCCAUCAGCACAGCCUGGUGCCCAACUCCCACCUCGGGUCUCAUGCAGCGGCCUGUGCUCCGCAGCUCUGACUCUCACUUGCACAUUGCCCCGGGCAGGGUUGGUUUCUAAUUCAUGUGUAUCUUGUCUCUGUAGUGUGCCUGCCAGCUUCUCCACAGCCGGCCUGGGUCUUCUUCUUUAUGGCCCCUCACAGUCCCCUAGUGGAGCACUCUUUCUAUAGUAGGUGCUCAAGAAAUACAUUUUCAACUCAAUUGAAGGGAAUAGGCUCCCAUAACAGAAUGAACUCAUUUCAGAAAUUCAUUACCAAGUCUUAAAAACCUUUUUUUAUAGAUCCUCCUGGACCGAAUCCAGCUCUACCUUAAUUAGCAAAGCAAUUUGCAACACCCUUUCCCAAAAGUGCUUAUGCGUCCCUUUGUGUGACUAGAAUAGGGGCCGCUGCACCAAUUGCUGUCACCACCCAAAAUUCAAUUUGGAAAAUCGAAAUCAGUGCCUGCAGCACUGAUGUAGAUUUGUAUGUAUAAAAGUUUAAUAUGGUAAAGAGAAAUUUACUGACGACUGAACAGGGGAAAUGCAAAAGGAGCAAAAAUAGAGCUAUAAAGGACGCUCGUCAGAUGAACAUCUAUUUUAUUCACAUUUGGGGAGCAGUGCUGAAUUUUUCAUAAUGUCCCCACUGCUGCCUUUUUCAAACCCAGCACUGCUAUUAGUCCUAAAAUGUCCAUGAUCUCAUUAGGUGUGAAUGCAAAAUCAGGUAAUUUAAAGCUUGUAUUAAGAAUAUUUCUAAAAAUGCCAGUCCAUUUCAUCAGAAAAACUGCAUUUCAGAACUCAGGAAUGUUAGUGCUGGAGUCUGUGAAUAAAGUGUAAGCUAUAGGAAUGUGGUGAGGCUUCUGGAAUUCGACAGAUGUCUCCACUGACAUCCUUUUAAGUAGUAAGCAUGACUUUUUUAAUUGCUGAGCUUGAGUUAUCUGUGGCUAGGAACCCAGCAUUGACCAAGGCUUCAUCACUCCUCAGGCAGUAAGAACUUGGCUAGAAAUGGGCAUGUCUCAAACUCCUGUCACCUCCACUGAGCUGCUUUUAGAGCCUCAGUUAGAUACCUUCUGACCUCAGAGGGGAAACUGGAUGGCAAGUCUGUUUUUAGGACUCAGGUGUUUGGUUUUCUUUCUCAGAUUACAACUGAGUCCAGGAAUUCUGGGAACUCUCUAGGAGACUGACUCUUUCACACAGAGGAAGCUUCAGAAGUGAGAGUGGUCGGGCACAGUGGCUCAAGCCUGUAAUCCCAGCACUUUGGGAGGCCGAGGUGAGCGGAUCACAAGGUCAGGAGAUCGAGACCAUCCUGGCUAACAUGGUGAAACCCCGUCUCUACUAAAAAUACAAAAAAUUAGCCAGGCAUGGUAGCGGGCGCCUGUAGUCCCAGCUACUUGGGAGGCUGAGGCAGGAGAAUGGCAUGAACCCGGGAGGCGGAGCUUGCAGUGAGCCGAGAUUGUGCCACUGCACUCUAGCCUGGGUGACAGAGCGAGACUCUGUCUAAAAAAAAAAAAAAAGUGAGAGUACCUGAGGGUCACUUUGCUUUUUGCACUUAGACUUUGUGCACUUUACUCUUACAGGAGCAGCACUCUGCAAGGGUGACCCGCCCCCUGUGCCCCUCCUGUCUGUCCUGCUGCUCAUCAGGGAUGGGACUAGGUGGCAAGGAAGGACAGCACCUUAUACCACACCUGCUUGAGGGUGUGAUAUAAGGUUGCUGAGCAGCCUACUGGUGACUUCUUACUGCUAGAGAAGUUGGAGCAGGAAGGGAACUUGAGUUCACAAGGUGUUUGAGGGUGCGGAUCUGGUCGGAAUGCAGGUUUAUCAAGAAGCAGUGUUAGGAGCCCAGGAGAGAGGCAGAGGCUAUGGGAGGAAGGCAAAUCAGCGUGUGGACUCCUUUCCUAAGAGCUUGGUUGGGAAGGUGGUGGGGAUGGUGGCAGGACGGGAAGGUCCAGGUAAGCAGCCAUCAGGUGAAGACCGGGUACAGCAAACAGCUGCUCCCUUGGCAGACCACGGAGUGCUCAGUGACCGCUGAGAGCCACCGGGGUCAGUCAGGAGUGAAGCCUCAGCAGUUUCUCAUCCUUCCUCACUUCCGUUUCCAGCGCCACCCUCGGCAGUGCAUACCAGCCGUGCUGAUCCACUGAUAACAUGCUGACCCAUUCCCUGGGCAUGGGCUCCACCUGGUCCUGUGCCUGGAGCACCCCACUCCCUUGCUGGGACAUGCGCCCAUCCUCAGCCGCUCAUUCUCCAGCACUUCCUGCCUGGCCCCGCAGGCCCAUAGCACCUCGUACAUGCCCCUUCGUUCCACUCCCACCAGGGUGGUUCUGAACUGUUCUGUCCUUUCCCCUCUUACAUUAUGAGACAGGGGCCUGUGUUUACUACAACUCUUUACUACUAAUAACUGAGAAAAACGAAUCACUCACAUUUAGCGGUGUUCCAGGCCCGGAAUUCAGAGCAGCCCAAGCAUUACCUCAUUUAUCCUCAUACCACCCUGGGAAGUAGGGGCUAUUAUUAUAUUUUCUUUUAAAAGAAAGGUUAAGUUGGCCAGUAUGCUUCAAAAAUGUUCAGUGCAUGAAAGACAAAGGCCGAGGAACUGUCCCGGAUUAAAGGAGACUAAAAGAUACAUGAUUGUUAAAUGCAGCAGAACAUCCUGUUUUUCCAUAGAUUAUUAUUGAGACAAUUGACAGAAUUGGAAUAUGGACUGUGCAUUAGAUAAUAGUGUUGUAUCGAUGUUAAGUGGCCUGAAUUUGAUCAUUGAACUGUGGUUAUAUAAGAGAAUGUUCUUGUUCUUAGGAAAUGCACACUGAAAUAUUAUGGGGUGAAGGGGCAUUAUGCUCCUAAUUUCAAGUGGAUCAGAAGAAAGAUACGUAUGUACAGAUACAGAGAAAGAUAAACUGUGGCAACUUUUUUUUUUUUACGUGUGUUUCAUGGGGGAAGAGUGAAUGGUUUGCCUGAUAUCACAUAGCUGAUAAGGGAUGGUGCCUGGAUUCAACCCAGGCAGUUUGACUCCACUGCUCCCUACAGCCUUGGAGAUACUUAUUCACCCAAGCGUCCCCUGCUCAUAGAUGGGUCAAGCAUACUAUAGGGUCUCGAUGAAUUUCUGUGAAAUUUAUAAGUGAGCGCACUUUGGGAGGCCGAGGCGGGCAAAUCACAAGGUCAGGAGUUCCAGACCAGCCUAGCCAACAUGGUGAAAGCCUGUCUCUGCUAAAAAUACACAAAAUUAGCUGGGCGUAGUGGUGGGUACCUGUAAUCCCAGCUCCUUGGGAGGCUGAGGCAGGAGAAUCACUUGAACCCGGGAGGGGAGGUUGCAGUGAGCCGAGAUCGUGCCACUGCACUCUAGCAUUAGCUCUUGGCUGUGCGUGCCCUGCUGAAGAAAUGUUCUAGAUGUGUUCAUCCAGAUGUGUGCAGAAUUCCAUUCUAAUGGGACUUUCCCCAGAAGAGCUGUCCAGCAGCAGGGAGACACCAGCCUCAUACUUUUCCAUUCAUUCUGUCCACUCAGAUAAUGACUUUGAUUAUUAUUCGGCAAACACUGGCCACCUCCUCAGGCCAUAAUCCUUCCUCUUCUGAUGUAUCUAGCUGUACAGUCUCAUGAUGAGUAGCCUGAAUCCAGGAAUGGGUCAGGUAGAACUAAAUGAUGGAUUGUCUUUUUUGUUUGCUGUAAAGUAGGGACCUCAUUUGACAUGCACAGAGAGGCAGCAGUGGAGCUGCCUAUUAAACUGCUUUACUACUGAUUUAUUUAUGCUCUGCCUUCUCCAAGGAAGGAUUUAAGUUAGGAAAAAAUCCAUCAUUUGAAUUCUGGGGGAAAAAAAUGUAAAAGAGAAAGUUUUGUUCUGGGGAGCUUUUCAAAAUUCUUGGCAGAAAAAUGUAAAGAACUAUACAUAAGUAAUAGCAAGGACAGAGUAAAGGGAAAGUUAGAAGCAGUGCAAGGGAAAAGACCACGCCGCCUCUGUACGCUACCUGUCUUCCUGAGAAUGUCCAGCAGGGGCACCACUGUCUCUGGCACCAGAGAAUUGACUUUUAUCACCUUUUCUAUGGCAAGGCCUCAGUGUUCUGGGCCAUCUCCUUUCUAGCAGGACCUAACUGUGGUCCCAUCUUGGUUCUCCUCAGUUUACCCAUUUUAUCUUAAAUGUUGCCUUCUUCAUGUUUCUUUCCUUCUUGUAGAGUUUCAGCAGCUCCCCACUUAUCACAGAUGAGAACUCAGAUGAUUUUGGUUUUUUUUGCCUUUGCUAAAAGAAUCUGUUGGUCUGAGGCCGGGCAUGGUGACUCACGCCUGUAACCCCAGCACUCUGGGAGGCUGAGGCAGAUGGAUCACUUGAGGUCAGGAGUUCGAAACCAGCCUGGCCAGCGUGGUGAAACCCUGUCUCUACUAAAAAAUACAAAAAUUAGCUGGGUGUGGUGGCACAUUCCUUUAAUCCCAGCUACUCGGGAGGCCGAAGCUGGAGAAUUGCUUGAACCCAGGAGGCGGAGGUUGCAGUGAGCCAAGAUUGCACCACUGCACUUCAGCCUGGGCAAUAGAGUGAGACUCCGUCUCAAAAAAAGAAAA